rnacentral:rRNA from 1 species
UAACACAUGCAAGUCGGACGGGAACAGUGGAAUAGUUUACUAAUUCACUGUUUUAGUGGCGGACGGGUGAGUAACACGUGGGCAACCUGCCUUAGAGUGGGGGAUAACAGCGAGAAAUCGUUGCUAAUACCGCAUGAAAUUAGAGUUUUGCAUAAAACUCUAAUGAAAGGAAAUAAUCCAAUGGAUUAUUCCGCUUUAAGAUGGGCCCGCGCCUGAUUAGCUAGUUGGUGAGAUAAAAGCUCACCAAGGCGACGAUCAGUAGCCGAUCUGAGAGGAUGACCGGCCACACUGGAACUGAGACACGGUCCAGACUCCUACGGGAGGCAGCAGUGGGGAAUAUUGCGCAAUGGGGGAAACCCUGACGCAGCGACGCCGCGUGAGCGAAGAAGGCCUUAGGGUCGUAAAGCUCUGUUUUAAGGGACGAAUAUCCCUCAGUAGUAACUGACUGGGGAAUGACGGUACCUUAAGAGAAAGCCCCGGCUAACUACGUGCCAGCAGCCGCGGUAAGACGUAGGGGGCGAGCGUUGUCCGGAAUUACUGGGCGUAAAGAGCACGUAGGCGGGAUUUUAAGUCAGGUGUGAAAGACCGUGGCUCAACCACGGGGUUGCACAUGAAACUGGAAUUCUUGAGGGCAGGAGAGGAAAGUGGAAUUCCUGGUGUAGCGGUGAAAUGCGUAGAAAUCAGGAGGAACACCGGUGGCGAAGGCGACUUUCUGGACUGACCCUGACGCUGAGGUGCGAAAGCGUGGGUAGCAAACAGAGAUUAGAUACCCUGGUAGUCCACGCUGUAAACGAUGGGAUACUAGGUGUGGGAGGUAUCGACCCCUUCCGUGCCGCAGCAAACGCAAUAAGUAUCCCGCCUGGGGAGUACGGUCGCAAGGCUGAAACUCAAAGGAAUUGACGGGGGCCCGCACAAGCGGUGGAGCAUGUGGUUUAAUUCGAUGCAACGCGAAGAACCUUACCAGGUCUUGACAUCCAAAGAAUCCUGAUGAAAGUCGGGAGUGCCUUAGGGAGCUUUGAGACAGGUGGUGCAUGGUUGUCGUCAGCUCGUGUCGUGAGAUGUUGGGUUAAGUCCCGCAACGAGCGCAACCCUUGCUAUUAGUUGCUAACAUUCAGUUGAGCACUCUAAUGGGACUGCCCGUGACAAGCGGGGGGAAGGUGGGGAUGACGUCAAAUCAUCAUGCCCUUUAUGAUCUGGGCUACACACGUGCUACAAUGGAUGGUACAGAGAGCAGCGAGACAGUGAUGUGGAGCGAAUCUCAAAAAGCCAUUCUCAGUUCGGAUUGCAGGCUGCAACUCGCCUGCAUGAAGUCGGAAUCGCUAGUAAUCGCGGAUCAGCAUGUCGCGGUGAAUGCGUUCCCGGGCCUUGCACACACCGCCCGUCA